rnacentral:lncRNA from 1 species
CGGAAUCAGAAAAAAGCUCUGAUGCAGAGUUUAAGGAAAAAUGCAGAGUGGAAGAAUUUGAUGAAGAAGAAGAAACGCAGAAUGGAAAAAAUGCAGAACAGAAAAAAUGCAGAAUGAAGAAUUCGCUGUAGAAUGAUGAUGGAGAACUCCCUUGGGUUGUGAGUGCAGAAUUCUAUUUAUAGAGCUUUGAAUUGAAUUCAGUUAUGAAAUUCACCUUCAAAUUCACAUGAAAUUCAAAUUUAGUUAUAAAUGAAAUUAGUUAGUUAUUUGUUAGGGAAUUCAAAUGAGUGAAUGAAUUUGGCUUGAAUUUGGUUUUAAUUUCCUCUCCAUUUCAAUCUGGUAUGUGUGAUCUAUUAAAGUUAGUUAAUUUUGUUUUUGGUGUAUAACUGGUAGUGUAGGAUUUGUUAGUGUGUUAAUUGAAUGUGAAUGUUAGGCAUUAAUUGAAAUGAGGCAGGUAGUUUUUAUGAUGUGUUCUGAAUCAAAUCUGUUAGAAACUAUGUGCGAGUUGGUUAGUUAUGUUAUGGGUUGCUCUGAAUUGAAUGGUUAAAAAGUAGUAAAACAAAUUGCUUCUAUUGUUCAGUUUUGCUGAAGAAAAUGUUAUGUUACUUUCUUGCUAGGAAUCUGCUAGUUGCUGAUGCAUACUAUUCAUGUUGAAUGCUUGCAACGUGAUUAUGAGCUUUUUAGGACUAUGCUAGAUGAUAUGACUAUGCUUGAUAUGAAUUCAUUGCCAUGUGUUUGGAUGAAUGCUAAUGUUUGCAUUUCUUAUGGAUUGAAUGCAGGUUGUAGGAGCUAAUCCUGUUAGUUGUCAGUUCAAGUGUUAAUGCUCUUUCUUAUCCAAUAAGGACUCUAAAACUCGUGGAAAAAUAGGGGAUUAGAUUAUAGGCUGUAUUUGGAAAAGUGUUGUAAACUUGGAAUUGAUUAUAUGGACUUAAUUGUUUAUCAAUUACCGUGUUUAAAAAGAAUGAUCAUGUAUUAAGUUACAUAUGAAAAGUUGUAUGGAUUUUGUAUUGACAAUAUUUAGAAUCAAGCAUUGAAUAUUAUUAAAUGUAAUGUGUAAAUGUAAAGUUAAUUAUGAAUGAAUGUGGAUGAACUUUGAA